GCCUGACGGAGCGACACCGCGUGCAGGAUGAAGGCCUUCGGGUUGUAAACUGCUGUCACGUUUUAGGGACGAACGGGCGUUAAUAGCGCUCGGACUGACCAAGGCGAGAGGAAGCACCGGCUAACUCUGUGCCAGCAGCCGCGGUAAGACAGAGGGUGCAAACGUUGUUCGGAAUUACUGGGCAUAAAGAGCACGUAGGUGGUGCGCUAAGUCACGUGUGAAAUCCCCCGGCUCAACCGGGGAAUGGCGCGUGAUACUGGCGGACUCGAGGCGGGUAGGGGUGAGCGGAACUCCAGGUGGAGCGGUGAAAUGCGUAGAUAUCUGGAGGAACACCGGUGGCGAAAGCGGCUCACUGGACCUGAUCUGACACUGAGGUGCGAAAGCUAGGGUAGCAAACGGGAUUAGAUACCCCGGUAGUCCUAGCCGUAAACGAUGGGCACUGGGCAGGGGGGAUACCUAUGCCCUCUCUGCCGGAGCUAAUGUGUUAAGUGCCCCGCCUGGGGAGUACGCUCGCAAGGGUAAAACUCAAAGAAAUUGACGGGGGC
rnacentral:rRNA from 1 species